rnacentral:lncRNA from 1 species
CCUGUCGUUUCUCCCAGGAUGUCCCUUGAAUUUGUCCGCUUCCCGGAAUCGCACUCCUAGGAUCGAGUCCUUUGCGCCUCAAAUCUCCUCCAGAAACGCGUAUGGGGACAAGCAGCAGACAUUCGGGGAUCGCUGGCCAUGGCUGAGAUCAACUACUUUCGUCGCCUACCUAAACGCUAUUCUAGGACUAGAAUCGCUACUUUUCCCAAAUUCCAAUAGCUUGAACCCCCAAGAAAGUCGUUUUCUGUGGCUGACUCCUAAAAACGCAACCCAUUCCUCUGAUCUCAGCCUCAGCUCUAACCCUGGGUCCCCUAACUCCUACACCUCUAGCCCUCGGCUCUGGCCGGCGUGUAAACUACCCAACAGCCCUUCAAUCCCGAUUCUGAAAGCAGCCUGGAGCCUAAAACCCAAACUGUAGCCACCCUAAAGCAUAGCCCGAAUUCAGGGCUGACCCACAACUCCUCCCCUGCCCACCGCGCGGGAACCCCGGCUCUCCUUCAAAGAGCCCCCCGAAAGGGCGGCCCACUGCGCUUUCUUCCUCGGGUUUGGGAGCCCGAAGAGCCCGCUCGCCAACCAGAAGGUAACACAAACUUUGCGCAGCAGACUGGGGACCCUGCCCCAUCCCCCUCAGCUUUCAGCUUUUUUGAGCUUCCGUCCCCUCUUUUACGAAUUCAUACCCUAUUUUUCGAGCCAGGAGCUCCCUCGAUUCCCAAGCUUCGCCAUGGGCCCCAGUUCUCCCCUCACCAAAGACCCCCCCCCGCAAUCCACGCAACGCCAGCGACCUCCACGGGCUAGGGUCCUGAGCAUGGUGCCUCGGGCCCCGGCUUCCUGACCCCACUGAUGUUUCCCGGUCCCCGCUGAUCCUGCAAAACCUCCCCAAGGCCCGGCAGGACGCGACUGCAGCUCCUCGACAUCGGCCACCCAGCCCCAGGCUGGAGCUACUCUGGCUUCCAGACGCCUGCAGGCAGCGCCAGGCUGGUGACGCCACAGCCGCCGCCGCGCCGCCGCCGCCGCCGCCGCCUGCAAAAGCGUCUCUGACAUGGAAAUGAAUGACAGCUUACCUGAUGCCAAUCUUCAUCAGACUGACACCGGCGUGACAACACAGCCUAUACUUCCCAGCACAGCUCGGGACGUCAGCGGCACAGGGACCCGCC